UACGAAGGGGGCUAGCGUUGCUCGGAAUCACUGGGCGUAAAGCGCACGUAGGCGGAUUGCUAAGUCCGUUGUGAAAGCCCUGGGCUCAACCUGGGAAUUGCAGUGGAUACUGGCGAGCUAGAGUGCGGUAGAGGAUGGUGGAAUUCCCGGUGUAGCGGUGAAAUGCGUAGAGAUCGGGAGGAACACCCGUGGCGAAGGCGGCCAUCUGGACCAGCACUGACGCUGAGGCACGAAAGCGUGGGGAGCAAACAGG
rnacentral:rRNA from 1 species